rnacentral:rRNA from 1 species
ACGCACGCUGGCGGCAGGCCUAACACGUGCCAGUCGAGCGCGCCCUUCGGGGUGAGCGGCGGACGGGUGAGUAACGCGUGGGAACGUGCCCUUUUCUACGGAAUAGCCUCGGGAAACUGAGAGUAAUACCGUAUACGCCCUUUGGGGGAAAGAUUUAUCGGAAAAGGAUCGGCCCGCGUUGGAUUAGGUAGUUGGUGGGGUAAUGGCCUACCAAGCCGACGAUCCAUAGCUGGUUUGAGAGGAUGAUCAGCCACACUGGGACUGAGACACGGCCCAGACUCCUACGGGAGGCAGCAGUGGGGAAUCUUAGACAAUGGGGGCAACCCUGAUCUAGCCAUGCCGCGUGAGUGAUGAAGGCCUUAGGGUUGUAAAGCUCUUUCAGCUGGGAAGAUAAUGACGGUACCAGCAGAAGAAGCCCCGGCUAACUCCGUG